UGGUGUCUCAAGGAACUCUGUGACUUAUGU
rnacentral:piRNA from 1 species